AUGUCCUCAACUCCAGGCCACAAAAUCCAGGCCCAAAAUGUCCACAAGUCGGCCUCUGAAGGCCCCGCUCCUGCCUUUCGUUGGCCUCUCCAGGCCCAGCUGCUGUCCCCAGCAUCUCCAGGCCCAGAACUUCCUCAAGUGGGCCUCUUCAGGCUCAGCUCUUCCUCCUGACUGCAUCUCCAGGCCCGUCUCCUACGUCACAACAACCUCUUUCAGCUCAGCUCUUGCCCAGCUCCUGGCAGCCUUUAUGGCCCAAAGCUUUCUCACAUCAGGUCCUUGGCCAAGUUCCUGCCUGCCUCCCAGCAGGCUCGAAAGGCCCAGCUCCUGCCCCCGACAGUCUCUCCAGACCAAAAUCUUCCUCAAGUCAGCCUCUACAGGCUGGUCUCUUGCCUCACACUGGCCUCUCCAGGCCCAGCUCCUGCAUCUUGGCAGCCUCUCCAGGCCCAGCUCUUGCCUCGUGGCAGCUGCCCCAGGCCAAGUUUCUGACUGCCUGCCAGCAGCCUCAACAGGCACAGCUCCUCCCUCACACUGGCCUGUUUAGGUCCAACUCCUGACUGUCAGGCCCUAUCCAGGCCCAGUGCCUGCCUUCUGACUGACUCUUGAAGCCCAAAACGUCCUCAAAUCAGCCUUUUUAGGCCCACCUUCUGUCUACUGUCGGACUCUACAGGCCAGCCUCUGCCUCACAGUGGACCCUGCAGACCCAGAUCAUGUCUUACUGUGGCAUCCUCAGGUGAAGAUCCUGCCCUUUGGCAGCUUCUACAGGGCCAUCUCCUGCCUUGCAAUGGCCUCUUUAGGCCAAGCGCAUGCCCCAUGGUGACUUUUCCAGGCACAGAUUUUGCUUUUUGCAGCCUGUCCAGGCCCAGAAUAUCCUGAACUUGGCAUCUCUGGGACGAGCUCAUUCUCCCGGCUGCACCUACAGGCCCAUUUCCUGCCUCAAAACAACUUCCUUUGGCCCAACUCCUGCCGAGCUGCUGGCAGCCUCUGUAGGCCACAGACUUCUUAAUGUAAAGCUUUCCAGGCCCACCUUCGGCCUCCCGGCAGCCUCAGCAAUCAAACUAUUCCCUCAUGGCAGCUACAAAAAGCCAAGUUUCUCCCUGCCUCACGGAAUCCUCCAAAACCAGCAUUUGCCUCACGGCAGCCUCCUCAGGCCACAAAUCUGCCUGUCUCCCAGCAGUCUUGACAAGUCCAGCUGAUGCCUCACAAUGGCCCCUUUAGGCCCAGCUCAUGCCAAAAGGUGGACUCUCCAGGCAUAGCUCUUGCCUCCUGGCAGCCUCUGCAGGCCCCAAUUCUCUAAAAGUUGCCCUCUCCCAACCCAGCUCCUACCUCACGAGGUCAGCCUACAGAGGCCCAAACUCUACCACACAGUGGCCCUUCCAGGCCCACCAGAUCAUGGCCUCCUCAGGUGAAACUCCGGCCUCACAAUGGCCUCUGUAGGCCAAGCUCACAUCUCCCGGUGGCCUUUCCUAGCUUAACUUUUGCUUUUUGACGCAUACUCCAGGCCCAGAACUUCCUCCAUUCAGCCUGUCCAGGCCAAGGUCUUCCUCCCAAAGGCCUCUGCAGUCCCAAAUCGUCCUGAAGUCAGCCUCUGCAGGCCCAGGUCCUGCCUCCCAGUGCUGUGUAGGUCAAGCUAAUGCCUCACAGCAGACUUUCCAGGCCAAGCGUUUGCUUUUGUGCAUCGUCUCCAUGCCCUUAAAUUACUCCAGUCGGUCUUUCCAGGCCCAGCUCUUCCUCCCAGCAGCCAAAUUGUCCUCAAUUUGCCCUCUC